rnacentral:lncRNA from 1 species
GUGAAAGUCACCAGGAAAGAGGAACCUGGGGGCCAGGGGACUGCAAGGCGGCGCAGGCCAGCACACGUCGAGUGCCUGGAGUUGCUCAGCACCAUCGGAGCAGCCCAGGGGGUUGUGUUCGCCUCCCAGGAGGCCCAAGGGCGACCCCAGGGACUUGCAGAAGAGUGUUGCAAAGGAAAACACCAAAUGUUUGAGAAGUUGUGUCGUGAUCGUGUGGAUACAGGUGUUGUCAUUGAUAGAGAAGUGCUACACAAUAAGACAGGCCCUUGCCUCGCCUCCAUUUGUUUUCCACAGAAUGUUUUCUUUGGACAUGUAAGUUUGUGCUGCUGGGCUCCUGCCCAAUGUAUCAAAAUGGUUUGUGGCUGUUUGAACUGUGUGACCUUUCAGGAAUGUUCUGUUAAACUCUGCCCCCUCACAAGAAGGUUCUGUUAAGCUCCGCUCCCUCUCAGUAAUGUUCUGUAACUCCGCCCCUUUGCUUCAGGAAUGUUCUGUAACUCUUCCUCCUGCUUCAUUGAGCAUGCUGGCCUACCCUGUAUAUCCCUAUAUAAGGAGGCUCUCAUUUCUGGUAGAGCACUCAAGACUCCUCUGAGCCCACCAGGAUUUGCUGGUGUAAUAAAGGUUUUUAUCUCCAC